rnacentral:rRNA from 1 species
UUUGAAUUUUAUUCUGGUUCAGAGUUAACGCUUGGGUUGGGUGAUACAUGCUAGUUAGCGCUUUCAAAAAAGUUGGUGUCCUCCUUUUCUUAAAGCAAAGUGUAGCGUACGAGUGAGUAAGGCAUAAAAAGUUACUUCAGACAAAGGAAAACCCCUACUAGGUUAACUUCCGAUUAAUAGAUUUUUCGGUCUGGAAUACUUUUUUGAAUAGAUUAGGUAGUUGGUGUUAUUUAACAGAUCACCAAGCCGACGAUCUUUAGUUGUUUUUAGAGAUUGAACAGCCACGUCGGGAAUGAAAAAAGGCCCGAGCUUUUUUAAAAGCCAGCAGUACAUAAAAUUGGACAAUGAGCGAAAGCUUGAUCCAGCUACAGCCCUUAAAUGAUUGAAGGGUUUUUCCUGUAAAGUUUUAAUUUUUCGGGAAUUGUGAUCUCCGUCAAAAAAAGCCCUGGCCAACUCUCGUGCCAGCAGCCGCGGUUAAACGAGGAGGGCGAGCGUUAUUCGGUUUUACUGGGUGUAAAGUGCGUGAAUAAUCGUUUUUUUAAAUCUAAAAAAAAAUUCGGACCUUUUUUUCGUCUAUUUUAGAAAAUUGAAAAACUCUGGAGUUUGGGAGAAGGUAACAGAACUUCUUGUUUAGCGAUGAAAUGCUUUGAAAUAAGAAAGAAUACCGUAGGCGAAAGCAGUUACCUAUAACAAAACUGACAUUACAACGCGAAAGUAUGAGGAGCAAAAGGGAUUAGAUACCCCUGUAGUUCUUACUGUCAACGAUGAGCACUCGUCUUUGGAAAAAAAUUUCAAGGACUAAGCUAACGCGUUAAGUGCUUCACCUGAGGAGUAUUGUCGCAAGAUUGAAACUUAAAGAAAUUGGCGGGAGUAGGCAAAUGCGGUGGAGCAUGUGGUUUAAUGCGAUAAUACGCGCAAACCUUACCUUUUUUUGACAAAUUUGAUAACUAUUAAUUCUUUUUUGAAGGAUUUUUAAGGCGUUGUUUAACAGGUGUUGCAUGGUUGUCGUCAGUUCGUGCCGUGAGGUGUUUGGUUUAAUCCUUUUAACGAACGAAACCCCCAAAAUAUUUUAAAAUUUUUAAUAUUUAACAGCGUAGGAAACUGCGAGAAAGGUGGGGAUAACGUCUAAAUCCUUAUGGCCUUUAUAUUAAGGGCUACUCAUGUGCUACAAAAAUAGUCACAAAACGUAGCGCUAAUUUAUAUUUUUGCUAACCGAAAAAAACUUUUUUAAGUACGGAUAAUUUUCUGCAACUCGAGAAUUUAAAGUUGGAAUCGCUAGUAAUCGUAUUUGAGCGCAGUACGGUGAAUAACUAAACCUACUUUGUACAUAUCGCCCAUCAAGUGGUGAAAGCAUUUAUAGCAGCAAGAAUUUUUCUUUUCUCAAAAUUUUAAAAAAAUUGCGAUUCUUUUGUUCUCUUUAAAGUUUUAGAAAAGCUGUUCGUGUGUUAUUUGUGCAAUUACUAUUAAGUUGUAACAAAGUCGUGCUACGGGAACGUGGUGCG